AUGAACGCUGGCGGCGUGCCUAAUACAUGCAAGUCGAGCGAACAGAUGAGGAGCUUGCUCCUCUGACGUUAGCGGCGGACGGGUGAGUAACACGUGGAUAACCUACCUAUAAGACUGGGAUAACUUCGGGAAACCGGAGCUAAUACCGGAUAAUAUAUUUAACCGCAUGGUUCAAUAGUGAAAGACGGUUUUGCUGUCACUUAUAGAUGGAUCCGCGCCGCAUUAGCUAGUUGGUAAGGUAACGGCUUACCAAGGCGACGAUGCGUAGCCGACCUGAGAGGGUGAUCGGCCACACUGGAACUGAGACACGGUCCAGACUACUACGGGAGGCAGCAGAAGGGAAUCUGCGGCAAUGGGCGAAAGCCUGACGGAGCAACGCCGCGUGAGUGAUGAAGGUCUUCGGAGCGUAAAACUCUGUUAUUAGGGAAGAACAAAUGUGUAAGUAACUAUGCACGUCUUGACGGUACCUAAUCAGAAAGCCACGGCUAACUACGUG
rnacentral:rRNA from 1 species